AGAAUCAACGCUGGCGGCGUGCCUAACACAUGCAAGUCGCACGAGAAAGGGACUUCGGUCCUGAGUAAAGUGGCGCACGGGUGAGUAACACGUGAAUCAUCUACCUCCGAGUGGGGAAUAACCUAGAGAAAUCUGGGCUAAUACCGCAUAACACUUACGAGUCAAAGCAGCAAUGCGCUUGGAGAGGAGUUCGCGGCCGAUUAGCUAGUUGGCGGGGUAAUGGCCCACCAAGGCGAUGAUCGGUA
rnacentral:rRNA from 1 species